CGAUGGCGACCGGCGCACGGGUGAGUAACACGUAUCCAACCUGCCCUUUACUCGGGGAUAGCCUUUCGAAAGAAAGAUUAAUACCCGAUAGCAUAAUGAUUCCGCAUGGUUUCAUUAUUAAAGGAUUCCGGUAAAGGAUGGGGAUGCGUUCCAUUAGGUUGUUGGUGAGGUAACGGCUCACCAAGCCCUCGAUGGAUAGGGGUUCUGAGAGGAAGGUCCCCCACAUUGGAACUGAGACACGGUCCAA
rnacentral:rRNA from 1 species